AGUGAACGCUGGCGGUAGGCCUAACACAUGCAAGUCGAACGGCAGCACAGUAAGUGCUUGCUCUUACGGGUGGCGAGUGGCGGACGGGUGAGGAAUACAUCGGAAUCUACUUUUUCGCGGGGGCUAACGUAGGGAAACUUCCGCUAAUACCGCAUACGUCCUACGGGUGAAAGCAGGGGAUCUUCGGACCUUGCGCGAUUGAAUGAGCCGAGGUCGGGUUAGCUAGUUGGCGGGGUAAAGGCCCACCACGGCGACGAUCGGUAGGUGGUCUGAGAGGAUGACAGGCACACUGGAACGGAGGAACGGUACCAACUCCGAACGGGAGGAACGGGGGGGAAUAAUAGGCGAGGGGGCGGAGGCCAAUCCCGGCCAACCGGGGAGGGGGAGAAGGGCCUUCGGUUGGUAAACCCCUUUGGUUGGAAAAGAAAAGAAGCAGUUAAACACCCCCGUUUUUGACGGUAACCAAAGAAUAAGCACCGGCUAACUUCGUG
rnacentral:rRNA from 1 species